UACAUAUGUCUAUAUUUGUUUUCUGACAUUCGACAUUUACGAGUGUAUACAUUUACGAUUAUUACUAUUUUGACACGCGACAGAAGUUGUACGAUCUACUAGCUAAUAUUUGGCACUGUUGCUAUAUUAUAAAUUCUGUUUACUGAAGAUGCGGCCAACGUGUGUUUUCGCUGUGGUCCUGGUUCUAGUGUUACUUACAUGGACCUCCAUACAAGGAUUUCCCGUAAACAUCGAUACAUCAGCUGAGGAGCAUGUCAUUCAUAAACGGCAGUUUGGAGGAGGCAGUGACACUACCAUCUGUUACACAUGUGCUUGGAAUAACCCAGGUAUGGAUGGAGGGUAAAAUCCCUAUCGUCUGCCGUAAUCAACUCUGUCAAAGUAGUCUGAUUCCUUAAUGCUAGCUUAUCAUUAAAGUUUAAU